UCCCUCUCAGGGUCGCACCUGGAGAGUUUCCAGUAAUCUACCAGUCUCAGAUACGGGAGGGAGAGUCAAGCAGAGGCAUACCCAUUCCAUUCCUAGCUUGGGCAGUGGCUAGUGAGUGGAAGGCAAUCUGGUGCAUGU
rnacentral:snoRNA from 1 species